rnacentral:tRNA from 1 species
CGAGGUGGAGCUCAGUGGUGGAGCGCGCGCUUAGCACGCACGAGGUCCUGGGCUCAAUCCCCAGCACCUCCA